UGCAAGUCGAGCGGCAGCGCGGGGCAACCUGGCGGCGAGCGGCGAACGGGUGAGUAAUGCAUCGGAACAUGUCCAUUCGUGGGGGAUAGCCCGGCGAAAGCCGGAUUAAUACCGCAUACGCCCUUAGGGGGAAAGUGGGGGACCGCAAGGCCUCACGCGAUUGGGUUGGCCGAUGUCCGAUUAGCUAGUUGGCGGGGUAAAGGCCCACCAAGGCGAUGAUCGGUAGCUGGUCUGAGAGGAUGAUCAGCCACACUGGGACUGAGACACGGCCCAGACUCCUACGGGAGGCAGCAGUGGGGAAUUUUGGACAAUGGGGGCAACCCUGGUCCAGCCAUUCCGCGUGAGUGAAGAAGGCCUUCGGGUUGUAAAGCUCUUUUGUCCGGAACGAAACGGUGAGCGUGAAUAUCGCUUGCUACUGACGGUACCGGAAGAAUAAGCACCGGCUAACUACGUGCCAGCAGCCGCGGUAAUACGUAGGGUGCGAGCGUUAAUCGGAAUUACUGGGCGUAAAGCGUGCGCAGGCGGUUUUGUAAGCCAGAUGUGAAAGCCCCGGGCUUAACCUGGGAAUGGCAUUUGGGACUGCGAGGCUUGAGUGCGGCAGAGGAGACUGGAAUUCCUGGUGUAGCAGUGAAAUGCGUAGAUAUCAGGAGGAAUACCGAUGGCGAAGGCAGGUCUCUGGGCUGACACUGACGCUCAUGCACGAAAGCGUGGGGAGCAAACAGGAUUAGAUACCCUGGUAGUCCACGCCCUAAACGAUGUCGACUGGUUGUUGGGGGUUUGACACUCUCAGUAACGAAGCUAACGCGUGAAGUCGACCGCCUGGGGAGUACGGCCGCAAGGUUAAAACUCAAAGGAAUUGACGGGGACCCGCACAAGCGGUGGAUUAUGUGGAUUAAUUCGAUGCAACGCGAAAAACCUUACCUA
rnacentral:rRNA from 1 species